rnacentral:tRNA from 1 species
GGGGCCGUAGUUCAAUGGAUAGAAUACCCGGCUUCGAACCGGUUGGUUGCAGGUUCGAGUCCUGCCGGCCCCACCA